GAUGAACUCUAGCUACAGGCUUAACACAUGCAAGUCGAGGGGCAGCAUGGUCUUAGCUUGCUAAGACUGAUGGCGACCGGCGCACGGGUGAGUAACACGUAUCCAACCUGCCGUCUACUCUUGGACAGCCUUCUGAAAGGAAGAUUAAUACAAGAUGGCAUCAUGAGUCCGCAUGUUCACAUGAUUAAAGGUAUUCCGGUAGACGAUGGGGAUGCGUUCCAUUAGAUAGUAGGCGGGGUAACGGCCCACCUAGUCUUCGAUGGAUAGGGGUUCUGAGAGGAAGGUCCCCCACAUUGGAACUGAGACACGGUCCAAACUCCUACGGGAGGCAGCAGUGAGGAAUAUUGGUCAAUGGGCGAGAGCCUGAACCAGCCAAGUAGCGUGAAGGAUGACUGCCCUAUGGGUUGUAAACUUCUUUUAUAAAGGAAUAAAGUCGGGUAUGGAUACCCGUUUGCAUGUACUUUAUGAAUAAGGAUCGGCUAACUCCGUGCCAGCAGCCGCGGUAAUACGGAGGAUCCGAGCGUUAUCCGGAUUUAUUGGGUUUAAAGGGAGCGUAGAUGGAUGUUUAAGUCAGUUGUGAAAGUUUGCGGCUCAACCGUAAAAUUGCAGUUGAUACUGGAUAUCUUGAGUGCAGUUGAGGCAGGCGGAAUUCGUGGUGUAGCGGUGAAAUGCUUAGAUAUCACGAAGAACUCCGAUUGCGAAGGCAGCCUGCUAAGCUGCAACUGACAUUGAGGCUCGAAAGUGUGGGUAUCAAACAGGAUUAGAUACCCUGGUAGUCCACACGGUAAACGAUGAAUACUCGCUGUUUGCGAUAUACGGCAAGCGGCCAAGCGAAAGCGUUAAGUAUUCCACCUGGGGAGUACGCCGGCAACGGUGAAACUCAAAGGAAUUGACGGGGGCCCGCACAAGCGGAGGAACAUGUGGUUUAAUUCGAUGAUACGCGAGGAACCUUACCCGGGCUUAAAUUGCAGAUGAAUUACGGUGAAAGCCGUAAGCCGCAAGGCAUCUGUGAAGGUGCUGCAUGGUUGUUGUCAGCUCGUGCCGUGAGGUGUCGGCUUAAGUGCCAUAACGAGCGCAACCCUUGUUGUCAGUUACUAACAGGUUCCGCUGAGGACUCUGACAAGACUGCCAUCGUAAGAUGUGAGGAAGGUGGGGAUGACGUCAAAUCAGCACGGCCCUUACGUCCGGGGCUACACACGUGUUACAAUGGGGGGUACAGAGGGCCGCUACCACGCGAGUGGAUGCCAAUCCCCAAAACCUCUCUCAGUUCGGACUGGAGUCUGCAACCCGACUCCACGAAGCUGGAUUCGCUAGUAAUCGCGCAUCAGCCACGGCGCGGUGAAUACGUUCCCGGGCCU
rnacentral:rRNA from 1 species